GAUGAAGAACGUAGCGAAGUGCGAUAAGUAAUGUGAAUUGCAGAAUUCCGUGAAUCAUCGAAUCUUUGAACGCACAUUGCGCCCCCUGGUAUUCCGGGGGGCAUGCCUGUCCGAGCGUCAUUACAACCCUCAAGCUCAGCUUGGUGUUGGGCCCCGCCGCCCCGGCGGGCCCUAAAGUCAGUGGCGGUGCCGUCCGGCUCCGAGCGUAGUAAUUCUUCUCGCUCUGGAGGUCCGGUCGUGUGCUCGCCAGCAACCCCCAAUUUUUUUCAGGUUGACCUCGGAUCAGGUAGGGAUACCCGCUGAACUUAAGCAUAUCAAUAAGCGGAGGA
rnacentral:misc_RNA from 1 species